UGUCGAUUGUCAGUCGAGGGGCUCCCGCCGGUGAAAGGGUUGAUUGAUGCUGACUCGGCGGCUUUUAUCGCCACUUACACGGUACCCAGCCUCGAGUAAUAAUUAUCCGUACACUCCGUCGCAGCCUUCAAUUAUCUAAUCAAAAGAUGAUCCUAUGGAUUUCCCGGCUACCAAACACGAAUUCCAGCUUCGAAACAUCGAAUACCUAUAGAAACAACAUGGGAUCGCUGGAGGG